AGUGAACGCUGGCGGUAGGCCUAACACAUGCAAGUCGAACGGCAGCACAGUAAGAGCUUGCUCUUACGGGUGGCGAGUGGCGGACGGGUGAGGAAUACAUCGGAAUCUACUUUUUCGUGGGGGAUAACGUAGGGAAACUUACGCUAAUACCGCAUACGACCUACGGUUGAAAGCAGGGGAUCUUCGGACCUUGCGCGAUUGAAUGAGCCGAUGUCGGAUUAGCUAGUUGGCGGGGUAAAGGCCCACCAAGGCGACGAUCCGUAGCUGGUCUGAGAGGAUGAUAAGCCACACUGGAACUGAGACACGGUCCAGACUCCUACGGGAGGCAGCAGUGGGGAAUAUUGGACAAUGGGCGCAAGCCUGAUCCAGCCAUACCGCGUGGGUGAAGAAGGCCUUCGGGUUGUAAAGCCCUUUUGUUGGGAAAGAAAAGCAGCAGGUUAAUACCCAGCUGUUCUGACGGUACCCAAAGAAUAAGCACCGGCUAACUUCGUG
rnacentral:rRNA from 1 species